UACAGAGGGUGCGAGCGUUGUUCGGAAUUAUUGGGCGUAAAGGGCGCGUAGGCGGCGCGGUAAGUCACCUGUGAAAUCUCCUGGCUCAACUGGGAGCUUGCAGGCGAAACUGCCGUGCUGGAGUAUGGGAGAGGUGAGUGGAAUUCCUGGUGUAGCGGUGAAAUGCGCAGAUAUCAGGAAGAACACCCGUGGCGAAGGCGGCUCUCUGGGACGGUACUGACGCUGAGACGCGAAAGCGUGGGGAGCGAACAGG
rnacentral:rRNA from 1 species